GUCACACCCCAAUUCUUGAAGGAAUAAAUAUAAUCGAGGUGUGAAUAAUUCAUAGAAAUAAACAAGGAACAACCUUGUUAAAACCCGAAUAAUAAGAUAGAGAGUCGGGCUAUGCCCCUUUGGAUCACAAGUUUUGUUUCAUGCUUCUGACAACCGACAUUCAUUAGCAUAAAUUUAGUAGUGAAGAGUCUAAGCUCGGUCAGGUAUAUCAUUUGAAAUUUAACAUGAAGAUCUUAAGUUGAGAAAACAAAAGACUGAUAUGAGUAAUUGCUACAGCGGAAGUCUAACAUAUGAAUUUAUCUCUAGCCUCAGCUCCGUCCCGUCAGCACCGGCCAGCCAACCUGAAAACAUUUGAAAGUAUUUUUGGGCUAAGUACUAAUGUACUUAGUGGGCAUGCAUUUUCUGAAACAUUUCAUAUUUUCGUAAACACAGUUUAUCCAAUCGUACUUGACAUAACUUAGAAGGUUUUAAAUUGAAAGAACUUCUAAGCAUGUUAAAAUAAUUUUCAUUUGUGCGCACAUGUCACACUCCCUUUCCGUUACUCGCUGUGAUCCCGGACCUUUUAGCCACCGACGGAUCCAUUACUCCUGCUUUACUUGGACUGAGGGCGUAACCCAGCCAAGUUCCCAUUUGGGACCCAAUGCUCCGGAACACAUCCCGUCGAGCACCCUUAUAACGCCUCAUACAUGAUUAGUGCCCGAGUGGAGAUCAACCCACCGAGUCAGCUAAUAGGUGUACACAAUUCUCAAAUAACGUGUUAGGUCAAGAGAGAACCUCGAUCGAUUCAUUAAUGCGAGCCUUAAACAGAGCAGAGUGCACAUAAACAUUUUUAUUGGAUAAACAGUUUUCAUUACAUUAAAUAAACAAUUUGCAGUUCAUUGAAACAUUUAGAGCUUAAUAACUCAAUCAUACUUUGUACAUUUGGAAAGUAAGCCCACCUGGUUAGGCAAAGCCUGAAGAUCAUAAUCACAUAUAAACCUGUCUUGGGAAAGCAACGCUAAUCCCCCUGGUCACAAAGCCUACAAGAAAUUCUAUUCUUAAUAGGUCUCGUGAAGCUAACUUAAAGUCUUAGUGGAUGUACUAAACAUACUUGAUUCAUCACGCCGAGUUUCCAAAAUUUAGUAAAUAAAUAUUUGAAAACUAAAUUCUUGAGUUAAGGACACCAACAAUAUCCUUACUCGAUUUUCUUAAAUAAUUGGAUUUAUAAAUAAACCAAUUAAAUCAAGAAUACUUUUAUUGCAUGAUGCAAAUGCAAUGUCAUGUCAUGCUUAGCAUAUAUAUGAUAAGUAAUUACUUAAAAUAUGCACAUAACAAUAAUAAAAUAUUAUUAUGCAAUUUGUCUUUAAAAAUAAUUAAUCAACUACUGAUAAUCAAAUUAAUUAAAAUGUGGACUGCCCAAAAUAAUUUAAUGUAAGGCCCAACUUCUUAAAAAUUCGCAGCCCACAUAAAUGAAUAGACAUGGCCUAAUUAAAUAAAUAAAACAGGCCCAACACUCAUAAAAAUCGGCCCAAGACUCGGCCCAACAGCACAACUCAAGCCCAACACCCCCAAGCCCAAACCUAGCCUUUUCCUCCUUCCUUUUCUCCCCCCCAUCAGCCGCACACGCCCAUACAUCAUUCUCUCACUCUCCCUCAACUCGUCUCUCUCUCUCGACUGCUCUUCCGCCGCGGACGCUCGCCGGAGAAGCGAGCGGCGACAGGCUCCAGCUCCCCUCUCUCUUUUUCGGCGACUGUAACGAUAAAAGCCGCCGCCGACCGAUGACUCCGACUCCCAUCUCUCUCCCUUGGGUCCCCUGUCACUUCCCCCUGUUCUCUCUGCAUACACCGGCGACAACGAGCGUCGUCGACUCCCUCUCUCUCUCUGAAUCAGUCCGGCGAGCAGCAAUGGAACUGCUGCCGCCGCCGACACACCAGUCACCACCAAUCGGCCUUCCCCCUCGUCCUCGACUCGAACUUCACACACACAACAACCACUCUCUCUCUCCUGGGUCUGAUCGGCAGCACGCUGACGCCACCGCCGACGCUCCUCCCUCUCCUCUGCUCAACCUUGGCCGAUGGCACCGCCAUCGUCGCCCUCAAAUUCCCAGCGAGUAGCAGCCACCAAGCUGCCACCACCGCCGCCCAUUUCCCUUCUGUUCUUACUCAGACGGCAGCAACGAGCCACCGCCGUCUCUACCCGAUUCUGACUUCACACUCACAAAAACGGCAGCCCCGACAUCAAAACGAAGUUUUAAGACAUCAUAUUCAAUUUUUCAUGCUUUCUUAUGCAUAUGCACAGAUUGUAUCUAUAUAUAUAAUUAUGCGAAUACAUACGUAUGCUCGUGAUGUAGCUCUACUGUCAUUUUAAUAAAGAUUGUGAGAAUACAAUUUAUAGAGUAGAGUUUGGAAGUGAAACCUUUUAAUAAGGUGUCUGUUGGAUCAGAUUCUAAACAUGCUUAGUUGCUGGAAUUCUUGAGCUUCGGAUUUUUCUGUGAGAGAUGCAAUAUUUUGGAUGAUUGUGAAUGAGGAAAGAUCAUUUUAAGAAAAAAUGAGUUAACAGUUGAAUGGAUUGAUGAGUAGUGUAGCAGCAUGGGUUGGUGAAUAGGGCAGCUGAAUUGUAGAGGCGUGGUUGAAAUAUUUGACUUGGGGCUGAAAUAUUUGAUGGAGAUUUGCCUGCCUGCACAAAAGCAUGGCUCAAGGCUGACUUUUGGGCUAAAAGCAUGGCUCAAGGCUGACUUUUGGGACUGCAGUAGGUAAGUAGGGUGGCUGAUGGAGGAAAUAGGUUAUGAGUGAUAAUUGGACACUCCAAAAUCCCUCAGGAUAAAAUCGUCAAGACUGUACUAAUGCUUCAAGGUUUGCUAAUUAAAAGCUCGUGAAAAAUGCUUGAAUGCUAAAUUAAAUAAAUAUGCAAUGCAUAUAAAUUUAAUAACUAAAUUUACAAAUGCUUUUGUAAAAUCAUUUUUGUUGGAAUUUAAAAUAUAAAUCAUUUUUCAUUUUUCCGGCGUAAAUCAUCCUAAUCUAAGUUUAAAAUAAAUUCUAAACUUAAUAUAAAUAGGCGGGGUGUUACAUUCCUCCCUCCUUAUAAAAAUUCCGUCCUCGGAAUUGCAUAUUUGGUAUUCUAGUUUGGGAUACUAGACUUUCAUUAUCAGUGCGGCUACAUAGCUUGAUUGUUAUCGCAUCUUUCUAAUUGUGAGAACACCAUGUCUAUAGUCUCGAGAACUAGUGACAAACGAACUCAUUCUAAUCAUAUUAUGCUUAUCGUGAUGGAAGAAAAAUCUUAUUGUGGCAACUACAUAGUGAGAGUCUAUACAUUGUGAUGACGCUCUAUAACUAAAUUGACAAUCACCGAGAUCAUAGUCAUGUGGCUGGCCAGACCCAGCACGGCGAGUCACUCAGUCAAAUGGGAGCUUCGCCCCCAAUCAUGUCAACAUCUUAUCUCUUAUAAGGCUCUAAUUGAAUUUCUAACUUAAGCACUUACUUCUAAGUACUUCAAUCAUAAAUCAUUGGUACCAUAUAAAUCCAUUCUAUGCCGUUCUAGCGGUGCUAUCACGACUAACAUUCUUAAGACAUUCUUGGGUGGUUCUCAAACGGUUUGUAAAAGAACUUAUCAUUCUAAUCAUAUAGGCAGUGAACCUAAAAUGAUAACAUAAAGCUUUCUCAUAAUUCAUUCAUUCAUACAUACAUACAUAUAUUUGCUUUCUUUGAAAUUUUGAGUCAUAUAGACAUUAAAUGUCCCCUUCAUGAAAAACUUUGCUUAUGCCGGAAAGAUUCAAGGAAUCUAACUCGACCAUACAUACAUACAUACAUUGAUUCGUUGAGGGCUCGGGUUGUCCCAAACACGAAAUACAUUCAUUAAGUCGUUAUGGGUUCGGGUAGUCCCAAACACGACAAAAAGCAUUCACAUAGCAUCGUAAACAUAAGGCGCACAUUUUCUUGAAAACUUUCAUAACAUCUGAAAUACAUAUAUGUAUAUUUUUGAAACUAUUAUCGUACCUUGGUUGCGGCAGUGUGACGGCGAGCUGAGGACUACUGACAUUCUUAGAAGUCUAGAGAUACUAUUCUAGACUCGACAUCAAAAGCUUAUGGUUAUCAGAAACAUGAAAGAAAACUCAUGCUCUGAUACCAUUCUGUCACACCCCAAUUCUUGAAGGAAUAAAUAUAAUCGAGGUGUGAAUAAUUCAUAGAAAUAAACAAGGGAAAUACCUUGUUAAAACCCGAAAUAGGAUAGAAAGUCAGGCUAGGCCCCUUUGGAUCACAAGUUUUGUUUCAUGCUUCUGACAACCGACGUUCAUUAACAUAAAACUAUAAAUUUUAAAUUGAAGCUCAAAUGAAGUCAUCUUAAGUUGAGAAAACAAAAGAUGUAUAAGAGUAAUUGCUACAGCGGAAGUCUAACAUAGGAAUUUAUCUCUAGCCUCAGCUCCGUCCCGUCAGCACCGGCCAG
rnacentral:lncRNA from 1 species